GGCGACUGAAAUGUCACGAGCUCAGCAUGUGAAUCAGCGUUUGCCUUAGUGAGCGCUGAAUUGUGGUCUUACGGUUGUUGCGCCAAUUCGUCCAGACCAUGUUUUUUGGAAUAAAAUAGCACAGAGGGUGAAACUCCCGUUUGUCUGGUCACACGAAGCAAGAACCACUGAGUCGAGUUGUUUGGGAUUGCAGCUCAAAUGCGGUGGUAAAUUCCAUCUCAAGCUAAAUAUUGGUAGGAAACCGAUAGCGAACAAGUACCGUGAGGGAAAGAUGCAAAGAACUUUGAAAAGAGAGUGAAAGAGUACCUGAAAUUGCUGAAAAGGAAGCGAACGAAGCUAGUGAACGCUCUGUCAUACUUUCCUACUUGCUUGCAAGUCGGACGCUGUGGCAAGCCCUGUUCGAUUUGAUUGCUCCAUGUGAAAGCAGGCAAAGAAAAGACACCCAUUCUCUUUU
rnacentral:rRNA from 1 species